CUUGAUUUAGAAUAUUUGGAGUACCUAGAAAAUAAAUUUUAUUAUUUUUCGAUAUCAUUUGCCCAGUGAUUGAAUGGGCUCAAAAUCAACAAAUUUUAAUGGCCAUAGUGAGCCGUUUGUAAGUUUAACGGUGUAGAAAUAUCCAAAUCAUGUGAAAUUUUGAUAGAAAAUUUUUAUACUAUAUAAAACAAGAUCAAUAUCUUUGAUUUAAAAUUUUAAUGUCAUAUUAUUACAUUUUGUAAGAUUUUUAUUUUUAGCCGUUGAUUUUGAGCCCCUUCGUUCACUAAGCAAAUGAUAUCGAAAAAUUGCAAAAUUUAUUUUCUACGUAUUUCAAAUACUCUAUAUCAAGUUUAACGGAGCCGAUCGAUGAUUCAAAAGUCGCAACAUCAAAAAUGAGCUGGAAGCAUGAAAUGCUCUGUGUUUCUAGAAGUAUAGUAGUAAUUAAAUAGUAUUUGAUAUAUG
rnacentral:lncRNA from 1 species